AAAAAAAUAAAGGGCACAAAAAUUAACUGCUGAGAAUGGGUAUCAACGAGAUCAAGUGGAAUGAAAUCAAAUCACCAAUUUCUCAAAGCAAUUCUCAUUUACUUUGGUGAUUGAAAUUCAUCUUCUCAAAAUUGAAAGUAAGGAAAGCAAGAUUCACUUCAUCAUUCCCCCACUGCGUCUUUGAUCUUGCAGCACCGGCGGCGCCGCUGGAGCUAGCGGAAGGCAAGGCCACGCUGAAGCCACAGCAGCAACGAGCGGCGCUCAAGACGACGAAGAGGAAGCCGGCUUCAGCAGCGGCCAGAGAUAGCUCGAGUAGAAGCGGCGGAAUCCGCUGAGGGCUGAGACGACCAGCACGCGCUCUCUCUCUCUAUCUCUCGUUCUCAACGAUCACCGAUUUUUCUCUCUCACUACUUCUCUCCGGCGAUCUCAAUAUCGGCGCUGCUGCCCUAGAUGUGCAUCUUUAUUUUUGUGGGAACUAAUGCUGAGACCUAUUUCAAUACAGCAACACUAGUCUCUUCCGUGCAAAAUUUCCCAUAGUCUCAACAUUUAAUGAUCAGUCUGCUACUAGUUUCCGAAGUGUACUUCAUCAGCUACUAAAGAAAUCUUUGCUGAAAGAAUUGAAGAUAUUCUUCCAGGUGACCGACGACGAUGAUGAUUAAUGAAGAAGAUUGAUCGUGUUGGCUGUUGUUCUCCUUUUCUGUUGUCUCUUUUUUGUUCUUUGCCACGACAAAAUCAAUGAAAAAAACUUAGUUAUGGUUAUUUCCUCAAAGAUCUUGUGAGUUUGAUUAAGUUUUAACAUGGUUAUAGCUUUGGUGACAUACACGAGCGGUGGAGCAGAUGUAUUUCAUAAGUUCUUAAAGUUUGUUGUUUUGCAACGAGUUCAGUUGGAAAAUAUAAA